CCUACGGGAGGCUGCAGUGAGGACUAUUGGUCAAUGGACGAGAGUCUGAACCAGCCAAGUAGCGUGAAGGAUGACUGCCCUAUGGGUUGUAAACUUCUUUUAUAUGGGAAUAAAAUGUUCCACGUGUGGGAUUUUGUAUGUACCAUAUGAAUAAGGAUCGGCUAACUCCGUGCCAGCAGCCGCGGUAAUACGGAGGAUCCGAGCGUUAUCCGGAUUUAUUGGGUUUAAAGGGAGCGUAGGUGGAUUGUUAAGUCAGUUGUGAAAGUUUGCGGCUCAACCGUAAAAUUGCAGUUGAAACUGGCAGUCUUGAGUACAGUAGAGGUGGGCGGAAUUCGUGGUGUAGCGGUGAAAUGCUUAGAUAUCACGAAGAACACCGAUUGCGAAGGCAGUUCACUGGACUGCAACUGACACUGAGGCUCGAAAGUGUGGGUAUCAAACAGGAUUAGAUACCCUUGUAGUC
rnacentral:rRNA from 1 species